UUGUUCGGAAUUACUGGGCGUAAAGGGUGUGUAGGCGGUUAAGUAAGAUAGUGGUGAAAUGCCGGGGCUCAACCUCGGAAUUGCCAUUAUGACUAUUUAGCUAGAAUGAUGCAGAGGAUAGCGGAAUACCCAGUGUAGAGGUGAAAUUCGUAGAUAUUGGGUAGAACACCAGAGGCGAAGGCGGCUAUCUGGGCAUUGAUUGACGCUGAGGCACGAAAGCAUGGGGAUCAAACAGGAUUAGAUACCCUGGUAGUCCAUGCUGUAAACGAUGAAUGCUAGUUGUUGGAGGAAUUCAGUGACGCAGUUAACACAAUAAGCAUUCCGCCUGGGGAGUACGGUCGCAAGAUUAAAACUCAA
rnacentral:rRNA from 1 species